CUGCACGUAGCCUCCCGGGCUCAUCUGAUUUAUUUAUUUGUACAUGAAGUUUAGGAGCCCCAAAGCUCGUGCUAUACGUUUUGCCAUUAAGUGUUGCAGUAUAGCCUUUUUGUACCUUUUUAUCUAUGGCUUAUCUGUGUCAAAUCAAUGGCUAAAUCA